rnacentral:rRNA from 1 species
UACGUAGGUGGCAAGCGUUGUCCGGAUUUAUUGGGUUUAAAGGGUGCGUAGGCGGCCCUGUAAGUCAGUGCUGAAAUAUCCCGGCUUAACCGGGAGGGUGGCAUUGAUACUGCGGGGCUAGAGUACAGAUGAGGUAGGCGGAAUUGACGGUGUAGCGGUGAAAUGCUUAGAGAUCGGAAAGAACACUCGUGGCGAAGGCGACUUCCUGGCUCAAAACUGACGCUGAGGCGCGAAGGCGUGGGGAGCAAACAGG